rnacentral:rRNA from 1 species
GACGAACGCUGGCGGCGUGCUUAACACAUGCAAGUCGAACGGAAAGGCCCUGCUUUUGUGGGGUGCUCGAGUGGCGAACGGGUGAGUAACACGUGAGUAACCUGCCCUUGACUUUGGGAUAACUUCAGGAAACUGGGGCUAAUACCGGAUAGGAGCUCCUGCGGCAUGGUGGGGGUUGGAAAGUUUCGGCGGUCGGGGAUGGACUCGCGGCUUAUCAGCUUGUUGGUGGGGUAGUGGCUUACCAAGGCUUUGACGGGUAGCCGGCCUGAGAGGGUGACCGGCCACAUUGGGACUGAGGUACGGACCAGACUCCUACGGGGGGCAGCAGUGGGGAAUAUUGCACAAUGGGCGGAAGCCUGAUGCAGCAACGCCGCGUGCGGGAUGACGGCCUUCGGGUUGUAAACCGCUUUCGCCUGUGACGAAGCGUGAGUGACGGUAAUGGGUAAAGAAGCACCGGCUAACUACGUG